AUCAAUCCCUCCUCGCUGAUGAGGAUGAACUCUCACCAGAUUCUCACCAGAGGAUCAUUUUAAAGUGAUGACUAAAGAGCUGUGGGUGUUUUUCUUACCUGUGCAGAGCACGAGGAGUCCCAGCAGACCCACAAGUCUGCGGGGCAGCAUCCUUCCUCCGACCACCAGAGGCAAACAGGGAAUGAAGGAGGUGAAGAGGAGGAGAGAGCAGGAGCUCUCAGUGCCGAGUGAAGGAGACCUCCGGGUGGUGCCGGACGCUGCCUCCAUUUAAGCUCGAGACGCUUUCACUUCUCCUUCGGCCGCAAUCAUCUUCAACACAGAGAGAGAAACAGGAUUUUAAACAUUUCAAAAACAGCAGCAAGUACAGAGGAGAUACAAGAGAGGAGGAAAUCCUCAAAAGAACAUUUGUGUUUGGGAGCAAAACGUCGGCUGCUGCACAAACACAGAGUCCGAACAGGAAGAUGUCACCAAGGAAGAGGACGAGAAGGGUUUUAAAAACAAGAGCUGCUUGUUUGUUUGACUUGUAUGAAACCUCGUGGAAGGAUGUGACGUGUACGAAGGCGACAGAGCAGCUAAAGACCCAAAGUCUGGACUGGGCUCUGCUCCCGUUUCCCCUGAAUCCACAGGCCGUGUGUUCAACAUGAACCUGCAGUGAUUAAAGCAGCAGACGGCAGGAGGUCAGACCAAAGCAGACGAGGAACACAAAUCUGUUGAAGUGAAGCUGACAGGGAGCACCUGACGCUCCACCUGGACGCCCCACUCCCCGGGUCGCUGCGUACAGCACCUCCUGCAGGUUUCCACAGUGUACAGCACUUCAAUAUUUGCAGCACUAAAUAUAACGCUGUACCAACGAAUGAUCAAAUAUCUUGUCUGUUGCUUUGUUAUUUGUUAAGUUAUUAUGAGUAUAUGUCAUUUACUGGCAAAGAAAUCUUCCAAGAGGCCAGAUUUAAAUGUAUUUAUAAAUUUGAUCUGAGUCUAGUGAGGUCAUAAGAUCUGCUUUUCAUGCAAAUAAAGAUUUAGAGAAUGACGUCAUUACGAGAAGAAAGUUGCAUUUUAUUCUCUUUUUGAUUUUAUUCUCAAAAUAUUACGACUUGAUUCUUGUAAUGUUUUGACUUUAAUUGUAAAAUCACCACUUUUAAAUCCCUGCACAGAGAUGAUUUAUAAAAACUUUGAAACUGUCUGAAUUUGAUUUAACUUUGUCAUUUUAUUGUUUGUUCACACAAGUAAAACAUCUUAUUACCUGA